CCUACGGGAGGCUGCAGUGAGGAAUAUUGGUCAAUGGGCGCGAGCCUGAACCAGCCAAGCAGCGUGAAGGAUGACUGCCCUACGGGUUGUAAACUUCUUUUAUCAAGGAAUAAAGUGAGGCACGUGUGCCUUUUUGUAUGUACUUUAUGAAUAAGGAUCGGCUAACUCCGUGCCAGCAGCCGCGGUAUUACGGAGGAUCCGAGCGUUAUCCGGAUUUAUUGGGUUUAAAGGGAGCGUAGAUGGGUUGUUAAGUCAGUUGUGAAAGUUUGCGGUUCAACCGUAAAAUUGCAAUUGAUACUGGCAGCCUUGAGUACAGUUGAGGUAGGCGGAAUUCGUGGUGUAGCGGUGAAAUGCUUAGAUAUCACGAAGAACUCCGAUUGCGAAGGCAGCUUACUAAGCUGCCACUGACGUUGAUGCUCGAAAGUGUGGGUAUCAAACAGGAUUAGAUACCCUGGUAGUC
rnacentral:rRNA from 1 species